UACGUAGGGGGCAAGCGUUGUCCGGAAUCAUUGGGCGUAAAGAGCGUGUAGGCGGCCCGGUAAGUCCGCUGUGAAAGUCCAGGGCUCAACCCUGGGAUGCCGGUGGAUACUGUCGGGCUCGAGUCCGGAAGAGGAGUGUGGAAUUCCUGGCGUAGCGGUGAAAUGCGCAGAUAUCAGGAGGAACACCAAUGGCGAAGGCAGCACUCUGGGAAGAUACUGACGCUGAGGUGCGAAAGCGUGGGGAGCAAACAGG
rnacentral:rRNA from 1 species